rnacentral:rRNA from 1 species
UACAGAGGUCUCAAGCGUUGUUCGGAUUCAUUGGGCGUAAAGGGUGCGUAGGCGGCGCGGUAAGUCGGGUGUGAAAUCUCGGAGCUUAACUCCGAAACUGCAUUCGAUACUGCCGUGCUUGAGGACUGGAGAGGAGACUGGAAUUUACGGUGUAGCGGUGAAAUGCGUAGAUAUCAGGAGGAACACCAGUGGCGAAGGCGGCUCACUGGCCCGAUACUGACGCUGAGGUGCGAAAGCGUGGGGAGCAAACAGG